rnacentral:rRNA from 1 species
GGGAGUGAAAUAGAACCUGAAACCCUGCACUUACAAGCUGUGGAAGCACAUUUCUUGUGUGACCGCGUACUUUUUGUAGAACGGGCCAACGAGUUACGUUAAGUAGCAAGGUUAAGCACUUAAGGUGCGGAGCCGUAGCGAAAGCGAGUUUUAACUGAGCGUUCAGUUACUUGACGUAGACCCGAAACCGGGCGACCUACCCAUGGGCAGGAUGAAGCGAAAGUAAAAUUUCGGGGAGGUCCGAACCCACGAGCGUUGAAAAGCUCGGGGAUGACUUGUGGGUAGCGGUGAAAUUCCAAUCGAGCCCGGAGAUAGCUGGUUCUCCCCGAAAUA